rnacentral:rRNA from 1 species
UACGUAGGGCGCGGAGCGUUGUCCGGAAUUAUUGGGCGUAAAGAGCUCGUAGGCGGCUUGUUGCGUCGGCUGUGAAAACCCGUGGCUUGAACUGCCGGCUUGCAGCCUGAUACGGGCGGCGUGGAGUUCGGUAGGGGAGACUGGAAUUCCUGUGUAGCGGUGAAAUGCGCAGAUAUCAGGAGGAACACCGGUGGCGAAGGCGGGUCUCUGGGCCGAUACUGACGCUGAGGAGCGAAAGCGUGGGGAGCGAACAGG